rnacentral:misc_RNA from 1 species
AACGCACAUUGCGCCCUCCGGUAUUCCGGGGGGCAUGCCUGUCCGAGCGUCAUUACAACCCUCAAGCCCGGCUCGUGUGUUGGGCGCCGGCCCCCCGGGGCCCGCCCGAAAUAUAGGGAUUUCCCGUUGAAGGGCUCCCAGCGUAUGGGCUUACACCCGCUGAGAGAGACCCUAGACACGGAGGUCGAACCCCCCUAGUUUAACUAUAACUCGGUGGACCUCGGAUCAGGUAGGGAUACCCGCUGAACUUAA